AGAGUUUGAUCCUGGCUCAGGACGAACGCUGGCGGCAUGCCUAACACAUGCAAGUCGAACGGAGAUUAUUUCGGUAAUCUUAGUGGCGAACGGGUGAGUAACGCGUAGGCAACCUGCCCUUUAGUUGGGGACAACAUUCCGAAAGGGGUGCUAAUACCGAAUGUGACAGUUUUUCCGCAUGGGAUUACUGUGAAAGAUGGCCUCUAUUUAUAAGCUAUCGCUAAAGGAUGGGCCUGCGUCUGAUUAGCUAGUUGGUGGGGUAACGGCCUACCAAGGCGACGAUCAGUAGCCGGUCUGAGAGGAUGAACGGCCACAUUGGGACUGAGACACGGCCCAGACUCCUACGGGAGGCAGCAGUGGGGAAUCUUCCGCAAUGGGCGAAAGCCUGACGGAGCAAUGCCGCGUGAGUGAUGAAGGAAUUCGUUCCGUAAAGCUCUUUUGUUUAUGACGAAUGUGCAGACUGUGAAUAAUGGUUUGUAAUGACGGUAGUAAACGAAUAAGCCACGGCUAACUACGUGCCAGCAGCCGCGGUAAUACGUAGGUGGCGAGCGUUGUCCGGAAUUAUUGGGCGUAAAGAGCAUGUAGGCGGUUUUUUAAGUCCGGAGUGAAAAUGCGGGGCUCAACCCCGUAUGGCUCUGGAUACUGGAAGACUUGAGUGCAGGAGAGGAAAGGGGAAUUCCCAGUGUAGCGGUGAAAAUGCGUAGAUAUUGGGAGGAACACCAGUGGCGAAGGCGCCUUUCUGGACUGUGUCUGACGCUGAGAUGCGAAAGCCAGGGUAGCGAACGGGAUUAGAUACCCUGGUAGUCCUGGCCGUAAACGAUGGGUACUAGG
rnacentral:rRNA from 1 species